CAGCUGGCACACGGUUGCUAUGACACCGCACCCACAUGCUGUUUCAAUAACACGCUUAACCAAUGCAAGUGUGUUACAGCGCUCCAGAUGACAUAAUUUCAUCAGCUCGAACACCAAUCAACCUCCCCGGUAUGCUCAGGUAAGCGUAGGCUGUGAUCACAGAGCUAAUUGCCCCAAGGCAUUGCUGGAGGUCAGUUCGAGGGUAUUUUCAAUGCUCGGGGCCAUUACUCUGAAGUGAGUGAGAAAUUACGGGCUUUCUUCUUAUACUUUUGACAUGCUUCAGGUAUGACCCAGAGAGUCGACUGUUGAACCACGUCGCGUGCAUGGACCUUGAGUCAAAAACUACAUUAUACUACUCACAGCUUUGUCGCAAUAACAUUGGAAGAAACAACCGACUCUUACUGUCGUCAGCACCCAGUCAGUCACUAAAGGAUAACCAAAGUACACCCUAUUGAUGGCUUAUUUCUGGGAAAUGAUCGUGUUGCCGGAACCCAUACCUGGAGGGUACAGCAUUGCCACCUUGCUUGUGGGAGUUAAGAUUUUUCUGUAAGAGAGGACAUGGCUUGGAACCAGCACUAAAAAAAUGAUCAAUACUGGAAACGACAAAUACAGCCAGCAAGAAAUAGUAAAUGGACCAGAAACGUCAAAGCCCGCAUUGCAUCAUGGAGGCUGGAUUCCAUUUUCUGAUUUCGAUUCUGCUGAGAGAGAGAGAUCAUGCAAACUCCGCACAGACAGCAGGACGUAACCUGGAUCCUGCACCGCUUUCAGUCUUAACUCUUGUGCAUUUCACUGAAACAGGAUACUUGGUGUUGUAAUGACUGAUUGCACGUGGCGUUUAUCUAAGAGCGUGGAGAUUCGUACGUUUGCACAGCCUGCUUUCUUCUGCACUCUGAGCUUUCAUUGAUCCUCUUACACUUACUAUUCUAUAGGUUUGCUGAGUAUGCCCACAAGAAAAUGAAUCUCAGGGUUGUAUAUGGUGACAUACAUGUACUUUGAUAAUAGAAUUUAACUUUGAACUUUGGCUAAAAUGGUAUGAUUCAACAUAGCACGUUCAUUUUCUCCUCACUAUUGACAAACCUGCAGCCACCCAUGUGACAACAAGCUUUGACCAUGGGAUUGGAAGAACGUCCAAAGGAGAUUCACUGCACUGACCCCUAGAAUCAAAGUGUUAAUGUACGAGGAGUGUUAAAUGGCUCUGGGCCCGUACCUGCUGGAGUUUAGAAGAAUGGGAGGGGUGGUUCUUAAUGAAACCUAUCGAAUAUUGAAAGGCCUAGUGGAUGUGGAGAGGAUGAUUCCUAUAGUGGAUGAGUCCAGGACCAAAGGGUACGGCCUCAGAAUACAAGGGUGUCCCUUUGGAACAGAGAGUAGGAGGAAUUUUUUUAACCAAAGGAUGGUGGUUCUGUGGGACUCAUUGCCAUAGAUGGCUGUGGAGGGCAAGUCCCUGGGUAUAUUUAAAGCGGAGAUUUGAUUAGUAAGUGCGUCAAAGGUUACUGGAAGAAGGCAGGAGAAUGGGAUUGAGAGGGAUAAUAAAGCAGCCAUGAUUGAAUGGAGGACCAGACUCAAUGGGCCAAAUAACAUCAUUCCGUUCCUGUGUCUUACAUUAUCAUAGUGAAAAUCGAGAGGAAACUACUGACAUGAUGAAGGAAGCCCUGAGCUCUGCCAGAGUGGGAGGACCUUCACUGCUGCCCUAAAUACCAGUGAUGUAACAGGCAUAUGCAUCCAUCAUCAAGGACCCCUCCUUCCAGAACAUGUUCUGUUCUCAUUGCUACCAUCAAGAAAAAGGUAUGAGAGCCUCAGGAACCACACCACCAGCUUCAGGAACAGUUGCUACCCCUCAACCAUCAGGCUCUUGAACCGAAGGAAAUAACUUCACUCAACUUCACUUGCCCCAUUAUUGAAAUGUUCCCACACCAGUGAUCUCACUUUCAAGGACGCUUCAUCUCGUGUUCUCAAUAUUUAUUGCUUAUUUAUUUAUUAUUACUUUCUUUUUAUACUUGCACAGUUUGUGUUAUUUGUACACUGGUUGAACAUGCAAGUCGGUGCUGUUUUUCAUUGAUUAUGGUUAUUAUUCUAUUAUGGACUUAUUGAGUAUGCCUGCAAGAAAAUGAAUCUCAGAGUUGGAUAUGACUUGUUUUUGUAUAUAGUAAAUUUAUUUUAACCU